AAGGGCCGGGCAAGACCGGUGCCCAGCCGCCGCGGUAACACCGGCGGCUCGAGUGGUGGCCGCUAUUAUUGGGCUUAAAGGGUCCGUAGCCGGGUUGUUAAGUCUCUUGGGAAAUCUGGCGGCUUAACCGUCAGGCGUUCAGGGGAUACUGGCAAUCUUGGAACCGGGAGAGGUGAGGGGUACUUCCGGGGUAGGAGUGAAAUCCUGUAAUCCUGGAGGGACCACCUGUGGCGAAGGCNNCUCACCAGAACGG
rnacentral:rRNA from 1 species